AUACGGAGGAUCCGAGCGUUAUCCGGAUUUAUUGGUUUAAAGGGUGCGCAGGCGGCCAUUUAAGUCAGCGGUUAAAUCGUGGGGCUCAACCCCAUUCUGCCGUUGAUACUGGGUGGCUUGAUUGCGGUCGAGGUUGGCGGAAUUCGUUGUGUAGCGGUGAAAUGCAUAGAUAUGACGAAGAACACCGAUUGCGUAGGCAGCUGACCAGACCGCAAAUGACGCUCAUGCACGAAAGUGCGGGGAUCGAACAGGAUUAGAUACCCUGGUAGUCCGCACAGUAAACGAUGAAUACUUGUUUUCGGCGAUAUAAUGUCGGAGGCAAAGCGAAAGCGAUAAGUAUUCCACCUGGGGAGUACGCCGGCAACGGUGAAACUCAAAGGAAUUGACGGGG
rnacentral:rRNA from 1 species